UUUAAAGAGAGUUUGAUCCUGGCUCAGGACGAACGCUGGCGGCGUGCCUAAUACAUGCAAGUCGAACGAACGGAGGAAGAGCUUGCUCUUCCAAUGUUAGUGGCGGACGGGUGAGUAACACGUGGGCAACCUGCCUGUAAGUUGGGGAUAACUCCGGGAAACCGGGGCUAAUACCGAAUGAUAAGAUGUGGCGCAUGCCACGCCUUUGAAAGAUGGUUUCGGCUAUCGCUUACAGAUGGGCCCGCGGUGCAUUAGCU
rnacentral:rRNA from 1 species